AUGAGGGACAUCCUAGAAGAAGAGAAAAUCCAGGCAGUUAUGGUGGCUAAAUUACAAGAGGUCUUCCCAGAUUAUCACCUUGAGGACAAGGUGAGUCUUUUAGGCGGGGGUAUUGAUAAGCCUAAUCCACCCAUCACCAAGUUUUACACCCGCAGGCAGCGAUGCUCAAAGUGUAGGGUCAAGAGAUGCAGAUCAGGAGGGCGUGACCCUUGGUAA